rnacentral:lncRNA from 1 species
CUGCAAUCUGUUUUUAGAGAAACCCUCCACUUUAACCUCCAAAUAGGAAAAAACGAAGAGACUUUCCUCUUCUCAUUUAAUCAAGAACAUAUGUUCAAAGAUAAUACCGGAGGCUUAUUCUGGGAAGCGUUCUGCUCUUCCUCCGACAGCCACGCAGCGAGCUCACGAGGCAGCCUCCACACAUAAUGAAAGCAAACGCCACCAUAAAUCUCCCGCUCGGCGGAGGUCACUUCAGAAAAAUCGCCCGCUGCUCAGAUAAGCACCAGCUUUGCUGAGGAACAUGGAAGGGGGAAAACACCGACUGUGAUAAACACCAGCAGGUAGGCUCCAAAUGGAGGCCAACCCAGGCAACUCGGAGAGAAGGGAGCCGGGAUGAAGCAGGUGUGUGUGCGUGUGUGUGUUUACACACAACAGCCCUGGCCCAGUGUGUUCUGGCUGCGAGAACAAGCAACCGCACCACGAGAGGAGCUGCUCUCCCCCCCGGGAGGAGAGCUCCGGAGGCACCAAUUUUCAUUAAACCUAGGAGUACACACAGGGGCAGGAGGCCAAAACAGUCCUCGAAACUGAGGCUUUUAAAAACAUCUGUUGGCAGCGUUGAGAUCCUAGAAGAGAGAGAGAGACGGAGAGAGAGAGAGAGAGAGAGAGAGAGAGAGAGAGAGAGAGAGAGCUCAGAGUCCAGCACUUUCAUUUCCAGACUGUGAGUCAUAAAAGGAGUACGUAAAUCCCUAUCGCCAGAAUACGCUGACCCAAGUCUGGGUUUAUGAACACCUGAAGUACAUUUCAUGAGAAUUAGCUUUAAAUAUCAACCUGAUCACAAAGCUUGAAAGGUUUUCUCCCAUCUCAGGAUGACUGGAGUCCGCUGGAACCUGGAAUGGAGUUUUCUGACAGCAAAGGAUUACAGGAGCGUAACAGAAAUUAUGGAGAUUUCCCCGCUAGGCAUAAGGAUGCGAUCACUGUAGGCACCUGUGGGCCCAAGCAGGUUACCCACCAAUAUCCCUUUAAACACCAAAUUAUGGACUAUUAGGCCACUGCUUCAAGGCUUCUACAAAUGUGAAACCUUGACAAAUUCCCAAAUAAAAGCCAUAAAACCAAUCAUUUUUUAAACCUGUAUGAGUGACACCAGGAAAAUUACAGCAGUGUGGCAGGUCACUGUGAAAUAAAGCUGCCAGAAAGAAGCUUACGAU